UUUUUGCCGUCUGGUCAUCCUCGUCGGUCUUCUGCUUCUGGGUAUCGACAUCGUUAUCCUCAUCAUCUUCAGCUGCCCGCUUGCCCGUAGCUGACUCAGCUCCCUCAUCUUCAUCUCCAUCCUCUUCCUCACCAUCACCUUCUUCCUCCCCACCUUCUUCCUCUUCUUCAUCUACCUCGUUGUCAGCCUCCGGCUCCCCAUUUUCCUCAUUAGCAUUCCCGUGAGCAGGGGCGUCUCUUCCAUUUUCCGCCUCUUCCACAACUUCCUUCUUCUCCUUUAAGUCCUCGGUGGUGAUUUCGGAGCUGGUGUCUACGGCUGCGUCUGACAUGGUGGGGCACGCCGGUGACGCGAUGCAGGGGCUGAUGCACAGGGCAGCGUGUUGAAAGUUUC
rnacentral:lncRNA from 1 species